AUUGAACGCUGGCGGCAUGCCUUACACAUGCAAGUCGAACGGUAACGGGCCUUCGGGUGCCGACGAGUGGCGAACGGGUGAGUAAUGUAUCGGAACGUACCUUUCAGUGGGGGAUAACGUAGCGAAAGUUACGCUAAUACCGCAUAUUCUGUGCGCAGGAAAGCAGGGGACCUUCGGGCCUUGCGCUGAUUGAGCGGCCGAUAUCAGAUUAGCUAGUUGGUGAGGUAAAGGCUCACCAAGGCGACGAUCUGUAGCGGGUCUGAGAGGAUGAUCCGCCACACUGGAACUGGGACACGGUCCAGACUCCUACGGGAGGCAGCAGUGGGGAAUUUUGGACAAUGGGGGCAACCCUGAUCCAGCCAUGCCGCGUGAGUGAAGAAGGCCUUCGGGUUGUAAAGCUCUUUCGGCCGGGAAGAAAUCGUAUCAGCUAAUACCUGGUGCGGAUGACGGUACCGGCAUAAGAAGCACCGGCUAACUACGUGCCAGCAGCCGCCGCCGUAA
rnacentral:rRNA from 1 species